CUGUGUCCAUGUGUUCUCAUUGUUCAUUUCCCACCUAUGAGUGAGAAUAUGCGGUGUUUGGUUUUUUGUUCUUGUGAUAGUUUACUGAGAAUGAUGAUUUCCAAUUUCAUCCAUGUCCCUACAAAGGACAUGAACUCAUCCUUUUUUAUGGCUGCAUAGUAUUCCAUGGUGUAUAUGUGCCACAUUUUCUUAAUCCAGUCUAUCAUUGUUGGACAUUUGGGUUGGUUCCAAGUCUUUGCUAUUGUGAAUAGUGCCGCAAUAAACAUACGUGUGCAUGUGUCUUUAUAGCAGCAUGAUUUAUAGUCCUUUGGGUAUAUACCCAGUAAUGGGAUGGCUGGGUCAAAUGGUAUUUCUAGGUCUAGAUCCCUGAGGAAUCGCCACACUGACUUCCACAAUGGUUGAACUAGUUUACAGUCCCACCAACAGUGUAAAAGUGUUCCUAUUUCUCCACAUCCUCUCCAGCACCUGUUAUUUCCUGACUUUUUACUGAUGGCCAUUCUAACUGGUGUGAGAUGGUAUCUCAUUGUGGUUUUGAUUUGUAUUUCUCUGAUGGCCAGUGAUGGUGAGCAUUUUUUCAUGUGUUUUUUGGCUGCAUAAAUGUCUUCUUUUGAGAAGUGUCUGUUCAUGUCCUUUGCCCACUUUUUGAUGGGGUUGUUUUUUUCUUGUAAAUUUGUUUGAGUUCAUUGUAGAUUCUGGAUAUUAGCCCUUUGUCAGAUGAGUAGGUUGCGAAAAUUUUCUCCCAUUUUGUAGGUUGCCUGUUCACUCUGAUGGUAGUUUCUUUUGCUCUGCAGAAGCUCUUUAGUUUAAUUAGAUUCCAUUUGUCAAUUUUGGCUUUUUUUGCCAUUGCUUUUGGUGUUUUAGACAUGAAGUCCUUGCCCAUGCCUAUGUCCUGAAUGGUAUUGCCUAGGUUUUCUUCUAGGGUUUUUAUGGUUUUAGGUCUAACAUUUAAGUCUUUAAUCCAUCUUGAAUUAAUUUUUGUAUAAGGUGUAAGGAAGGGAUCCAGUUUCAGCUUUCUACAUAUGGCUAGCCAGUUUUCCCAGCACCAUUUAUUAAAUAGGGAAUCCUUUCCCCAUUGCUUAUUUUUCUCAGGUUUCUCAAAGAUCGGAUAGUUGUAGAUAUGCGGCAUUAUUUCUGAGGGCUCUGUUCUGUUCCAUUGAUCUAUAUCUCUGUUUUGGUACCAGUACCAUGCUGUUUUGGUUACUGUAGCCUUGUAGUAUAGUUUGAAGUCAGGUAGCGUGAUGCCUCCAGCUUUGUUCUUUUGGCUUAGGAUUGACUUGGCGAUGCGGGCUCUUUUUGGUUCCAUAUGAACUUUAAAGUAGUUUUUUCCAAUUCUGUGAGGAAAGUCAUUGGUAGCUUGAUGCGGAUGGCAUUGAAUCUAAGUUUUAAUAUUUGUAAGUUGUAGUACUAUUCAGGAUAGAAGAAAUUAAGCCAUGACUUUGAAACACUAAGUGAUACUCAAAAAGUCAGUGAAUAGUUGAAUAAACAAUGAGGAAAAUGGAACCACGAUAGCUCGGAUUUUCUUUUGUUAAAAACACCUAGAAAUUGAUCUGUUUGUUUAAAAAACUUGGGGAGUAUAAUAAAAUGAACUUUAUUACAAAUGUGUCCUGUAACAGCAGAAUGGCUCAGAAUAUUUUUAAUAGAAAGUAUUAAGAGAAAUAUUUUAAAUUUUU
rnacentral:lncRNA from 1 species